rnacentral:rRNA from 1 species
GAUGAACGCUGGCGGCGUGCCUAAUACAUGCAAGUCGAGCGAACAGAUGAGGAGCUUGCUCCUCUGACGUUAGCGGCGGACGGGUGAGUAACACGUGGAUAACCUACCUAUAAGACUGGGAUAACUUCGGGAAACCGGAGCUAAUACCGGAUAAUAUAUUGAACCGCAUGGUUCAAUAGUGAAAGACGGUUUUGCUGUCACUUAUAGAUGGAUCCGCGCCGCAUUAGCUAGUUGGUAAGGUAACGGCUUACCAAGGCAACGAUGCGUAGCCGACCUGAGAGGGUGAUCAGCCACACUGGAACUGAGACACGGUCCAGACUCCUACGGGAGGCAGCAGUAGGGAAUCUUCCGCAAUGGGCGAAAGCCUGACGGAGCAACGCCGCGUGAGUGAUGAAGGUCUUCGGAUCGUAAAACUCUGUUAUUAGGGAAGAACAAAUGUGUAAGUAAGUAUGCACGUCUUGACGGUACCUAAUCAGAAAGCCACGGCUAACUACGUG